UCUUAUUUUGGGGUCAGUGUU
ensembl:piRNA 21ur-8563 ncRNA